rnacentral:rRNA from 1 species
CGGACGGGUGAGUAACGCGUGGAAAACCUGCCGUAUACUGGGGGAUAACACUUAGAAAUAGGUGCUAAUACCGCAUAAGCGCACAGCUUCGCAUGAAGCGGUGUGAAAAACUCUGGUGGUAUACGAUGGUUCCGCGUCUGAUUAGCUAGUUGGUGGGGUAAUGGCCUACCAAGGCAACGAUCAGUAGCCGGACUGAGAGGUUGGCCGGCCACAUUGGGACUGAGACACGGCCCAGACUCCUACGGAAGGCAGCAG